UCCGGUCCGUAGGGUGUAGGUGUGGU
rnacentral:piRNA from 1 species